rnacentral:rRNA from 1 species
UACAGAGGUCUCGAGCGUUGUUCGGAUUUACUGGGCGUAAAGCGCACGUAGGCGGAUCGUUAAGUCGGGGGUGAAAUCCUGGAGCUCAACUCCAGAACUGCCUUCGAUACUGGGCGAUCUCGAGUCCGGAAGGAGGUGAGUGGAACUCCUAGUGUAGAGGUGGAAUUCGUAGAUAUUAGGAAGAACACCAGUGGCGAAGGCGGCUCACUGGUCCGGUACUGACGCUGAGGUGCGAAAGCGUGGGGAGCAAACAGG